AUUGAACGCUGGCGGCAGGCCUAACACAUGCAAGUCGAGCGGUAACAGGACUAGCUUGCUAGUUGCUGACAAGCGGCGGACGGGUGCGUAACACGUAGGAAUCUACCCAGUAGCGGGGGAUAGCCCGGAGAAAUCCGGAUUAAUACCGCAUACGCCCUACGGGGGAAAGCAGGGGAUCUUCGGACCUUGCACUAUUGGAUGAGCCUGCGUCGGAUUAGCUUGUUGGUGGGGUAAAGGCUCACCAAGGCGACGAUCCGUAGCUGGUCUGAGAGGAUGAUCAGCCACACUGGGACUGAGACACGGCCCAGACUCCUACGGGAGGCAGCAGUGGGGAAUAUUGCACAAUGGGCGAAAGCCUGAUGCAGCCAUGCCGCGUGUGUGAAGAAGGCUCUAGGGUUGUAAAGCACUUUCAGCGAGGAGGAAAGGUUGAUGAUUAAUACUCAUUAGCUGUGACGUUACUCGCAGAAGAAGCACCGGCUAACUCCGUGCCAGCAGCCGCGGUAAUACGAAGGGUGCAAGCGUUAAUCGGAAUUACUGGGCGUAAAGCGUGCGUAGGCGGCUUGCUAAGUUGGAUGUGAAAGCCCCGGGCUCAACCUGGGA
rnacentral:rRNA from 1 species